rnacentral:rRNA from 1 species
GACGAACGCUGGCGGCGUGCUUAACACAUGCAAGUCGAACGGAAAGGCCCUGCUUUUGUGGGGUUCUCGAGUGGCGAACGGGUGAGUAACACGUGAGUAACCUGCCCUUGACUUUGGGAUAACUUCAGGAAACUGGGGCUAAUACCGGAUAGGAGCUCCUGCUGCAUGGUGGGGGUUGGAAAGUUUCGGCGGUUGGGGAUGGACUCGCGGGUUAUCCGCUUGUUGGUGGGGUAGUGGCGUACCAAGGCUUUGACGGGUAGCCCGCCUGAGAGGGUGACCGGCCACAAUAGGACUGCGGGACGGCGCAGACGCCUACGGGACGCAGCAGUGGGGAAUCUUGCAGAACGGGGGGAAGUGUGAUGCAGAAAUGCCGCGUGCGGGAUGCCGGCCUUCGGGUUGUAAACCGAUUUCGAAUGUGCCGAAGCGUGCGUGACGGUAAUGGGUCAAGAAGCACCGGCUAACUACGUG